ACUUGAUUCUUUUUAGAAUCAAAAUAUUCCUUGCUAUCCCCUUGAGAAUAGGGCUGGUUAGUUAAGUGGGACGAAUUUUUUUUUUUAAACAAAGAACUGCUAAUAAGCAAACAAGGGACCCUAUACCGAAAUAAAAAUUAUUUGGCCACAAACUCUCUAUCAACACAAUUAAAGAACUUUCCCCCAAACUUACUUGGAAAUAGAAUUCAACAGAGGCCCUGAAUUAAGGGACACAACUUCCCUUUUUUCUUGAUGCUUGGAUUCAGCAAGUAAUAUAAUAUCCUAACACAGAACUUCCUCCAAGAGUUCACAAAGAAUCUUUCUGGUUAACAUGAGACCUGAUGAAGUGACCAACUGAGUGUCUGCAAGGCUCCCAACCUUCCUUCUUCCUUUGAGUCAUACCCUUACACUCUCUUCAUCUCCUCCACCCUCUUAGGGGGCUUCUCCCUUUUAAGCUACGCAGACUAAGAUGCUAACUAAAUGAUUAUGUUACACAGAUGGGUUAAAAGUAUAUGCUUUUAAGACCCCACUGAAUGCUUCUGCAAAAGCUAUUUUAUAUACCAGUGUCAGAAAAACAGAAACUGUUCCAAUUGCUUCACUAAAUACCUUUAAGUGGCCUCAUAAAUGUAAUUUAGAAAUAAAGGUCAGCUAGAUGGAAAAGCAAUGCUGUUGGCCUGGAGUCAGGAAGACCCUUUAUAGACCUCACCAGUCACUUUAACCAUCUGUGUCUGCCUCAGAAUUUUCUUAACUUAUGGGCAUCAAUGGUAGAUUUGUCAACAGUUCUUCAUGGUAUCUGUUUCAUAGCAGGUAAUAGGAAAGGGUCGGCUAUUUAACAUUAAAGUUUUUUCAAGGGAUCGAUACAGUUUUGUAGAGAAGUAAAAUAAAAGGGGAAAAUAAAUCACCUCUUGCUAUUGCCAUCCCACUAGUUGUCAUGUUUUAAAAAUAUAAGGAAAGAAAGGACUUUCCUGGAUUUUAAAAAAAAAAAAAAUCCUCCUUUAGGUUAAAAUCAGAAAAUUAUCUUCAUUUGAUCUAAUUGUAAAGCAUGGUGCUAUUAUGUGACUAAAUGAUAAAGUGAACCAAGAACAACAAUUACUUCUAAAGAUUUAAUUAUGCAGCCAACAAUGGAACCCACAACCCAUCCUCUGUUUUUAGGGGUGCCUGCACUGUUUUUUUCCAAGGCCGGGGGCUUCGAGCAGACUGAAGUUUCCUUGAGUAAUUUCAUCUGCUCCAUAGAGAUCACUUUAAGUGAAAAUGGACUUAAUUUUCAUUGAUCAAGAUUUCACUAACAAAGAGUGAGAUUUCCUCUCCUAAAUGGAAAAGGAAAUUCUGGCAGCCAGUUAGUUUUCCCUUCGCCAGUUUGGACAUUCUCUGGGCCUUGAACUUGAAGCAUUUGAAAGGGGGGCCUAGGUCAGCUGCACACAAGAUGUGCACACAAGACUUACUAGGAAGGGGCCAACAACUGCCAUAUUUGACACCUUUCCAAAAAAGGAAAAAACUUCAGGUUUGGUGAAGAUUUCAAGUCCCAAUAUCUUUACUACUGAGGGACAGGCAGGUGCUGGCCAGCUAGGACAGAGGUAGGUGCUGGUCAGCUAGAGGGGAACAGAGGCAGAUGUUGACCAGUUAGGGGGGACAGAGGCAGUGCUGACCAGCUAGGACAGAAGUAGGUGUUGGUCAGUUAGAGGGGAACAGAGGCAGGUGCGGACCAGUUAGGGGGACAGAGGUAGGUGCUGGUCAGCUAGAAGGUAACAGAGGCAGGUGCUGGUCAGCUAAAGGGGAACAGAGGCAGGUGCUGACCAGUUAGGGGGACAGAGGUAGGUGCUGGUCAGCUAAAGGGGAACAGAGGCAGAUGCUGGUCAGCUAAAGGGGAACAGUCACUGCUGACCAGUUAGGGGGACAAAGGCAGGUGCUGGUCAGCUAGAAGGGAACAGAGGUAGUGCUGAUCAGUUAGGGGUGGGCAGAGGCAGUGCUGACCAAUUAGGGGGGACAGAAGCAGUGACCACCAGUUGGGGGGACAGAGGCAGUGCUGACCAGGUAGGGAGGACAGAGGCAGUGCUGACCAGUUAGAAGGGACAGAGGCAGUGCUGAUCAGUUAGGGAGGACAGAGGCAGUGCUGAUCAGUUAGGGGGACAGAGGCAGUGCUGACCAGUUAGGGGGACAGAGGCAGUGCUGACCAGUUAGGGAGGACAGAGGCAGUGCUGAUCAGUUAGGGGGACAGAGGCAGUGCUGACCAGUUAGAAGGGACAGAGGCAGUGCUGAUCAGUUAGGGAGGACAGAGGCAGUGCUGAUCAGUUAGGGGGACAGAGGCAGUGCUGACCAGUUAGGGGGACAGAAGCAGUGCUGACCAAUUAGGGGGGACAGAAGCAGUGACCACCAGUAGGGAGGACAGAGGCAGU